rnacentral:tRNA from 1 species
UGGCUCAGUGGUUAAGAGCACUGAUUGCUCUUCAGAGGUCCUGAGUUCAAUUCUCAG